GAGUUCAGUUCCCGGUACCACACACACACACAAAUAAUGGGAUCCAAGGGCAGCAUUACACACCCUCCCUGGGGAUGGGAGCACCUGGGGGAAAUCCCCGACUGACUUCCCUGCUCAUCUCCCUGCAGGGAAAUUGGGUGGGAGCCAGUAUAGUAAAGGGUGGAGAGGUGGAUUCUGUUUAGCAAGUAUUGCAGAUCCUAGAACCUGGGGCCAGUUCCUUCCUGCUUCUGCUCCAGAACUGGCCGCCAGCAAGCCGGGCUGUGGCUUUCUUGUAAGGAGGGAGCAGGGAGGGAAAGCUGAUGGGGUGGACUGGGAAUGCUGACAACCAGAAGGGAACAUCUGAGCUGUUGCCUGAAGUCCACGGUGACGUCUAACAGCUGGAAGGAAGCUCGCCUGCAGAUGCUUGUGGGCCAGGUCUGAAUCCUGGCCGCUCCCACAGCUGGGACGUCCGCGCCUCUGACAUGCGUCUUUGACUCCACCCCAUGAAGACCAUUUGCCCCCUGGUUUCUGCUACGUCCUUGCGCAGAUUUUGCACAGCACAGCUGUGUUUGCAGAGGGGGAGGUGCAGGCGGGGACCGCUACCCCAGCCCCACGGGUGGCUGCUAAUCUAAGCUCCCCAAGCAGAGCAUGGCAGGGCAGAGGGUGAGUGUGCAGGGUCUUCUCCACCCCUGCACUAUAUUCCUUCCUGCUCAGGGCCUGCACGUCGGUGGUGGAAUCCUGAGCCCUGGCUGGUGGAGUGCAAUCUCCACAGGUUGCAGGGACCGCGCAUGGCGUGGAAAUCGGCACGUAAAGGAGGGGCAGUCCGGAGCCAUGGUGAACACCUGCCUCCCUUCAGGUUCAAGAGUCAUCCCUGGACUUGGCCCCUACCUGCCGAUGGGAAUCCUCUGGGCUUCCUGAUGAGCUGAGCCCUGGUAACACUGUAGAUGAGGUGAGCUCUGCUGUGGAUGAGAACUGCCCCAGGAAGAACUGCUUCUGAUGUAAACCUUUUUUAGAGCCCAGGGAGCAAUAGUUGGCAACAGGGCUUUCUGACUAUUGGAUUCAUAAAUAUAGAGCCUGAGAAUUUGGAAUUUCUAAGAGCCUAAUAUAAUGUUGGACUUGUAGAAGGAAUUUCUGGAAUGAAAAAUGUAGGGCUGUAAGUUGAUAUUAAUAAUUUUUUUACAAAGU
rnacentral:lncRNA from 1 species